rnacentral:rRNA from 1 species
GACGAACGCUGGCGGCGUGCUUAACACAUGCAAGUCGAACGGAAAGGCCCUGCUUUUGUGGGGUGCUCGAGUGGCGAACGGGUGAGUAACACGUGAGUAACCUGCCCUUGACUUUGGGAUAACUUCAGGAAACUGGGGCUAAUACUGGAUAGGAGCUCCUGCUGCAUGGUGGGGGUUGGAAAGUUUCGGCGGUUGGGGAUGGACUCGCGGCUUAUCAGCUUGUUGGUGGGGUAGUGGCUUACCAAGGCUUUGACGGGUAGCCGGCCUGAGAGGGUGACCGGCCACAUUGGGACUGGGAUACGGCCCGGACUCCUACGGGAGGCAGCGGUGGGGAAUAUUGCACAAUGGGCGGAAGCCUGAUGCAGCAACGCCGCGUGCGGGAUGACGGCCUUCGGGUUGUAAACCGCUUUCGCCUGUGACGAAGCGUGAGUGACGGUAAUGGGUAAAGAAGCACCGGCUAACUACGUG